AGAGUUUGAUCCUGGCUCAGGAUGAACGCUGGCGGCGUGCCUAAUACAUGCAAGUCGAACGCAUAUCAGUAAUGAUAUGAGUGGCGAACGGGUGAGUAAUACAUAAGCAACCUGGCCUUUUGAGGGGGAUAACUGCUGGAAACGGCAGCUAAGACCGCAUAGGUAUAUCUAUUGCAUGAUAGAUAUAUUAAAUAUCCCACGGGAUAGCGAGAGGAUGGGCUUAUGACGCAUUAGCUAGUUGGUAAGGGUAGCGGCCUACCAAGGCGACGAUGCGUAGCCGGCCUGAGAGGGUGAACGGCCACACUGGGACUGAGACACGGCCCAGACUCCUGCGGGAGGCAGCAGUAGGGAAUUUUCGUCAAUGGGCGCAAGCCUGAACGAGCGAUGCCGCGUGAGUGAAGAAGGCCUUCGGGUCGUAAAGCUCUGUUGCGGGGGAAAAAAGGCAGCAUCAGGAAAUGGGUGCUGACUGAUGGUGCCCCGCCAGAAAGUCACGGCUAACUACGUGCCAGCAGCCGCGGUAAUACGUAGGUGGCGAGCGUUAUCCGGAAUGAUUGGGCGUAAAGGGUGCGCAGGCGGUCCUGCAAGUCUGGAGUGAAACGCAUGAGCUCAACUCAUGCAUGGCUUUGGAAACUGGAGGACUGGAGAGCAGGAGAGGGCGGUGGAACUCCAUGUGUAGCGGUAAAAUGCGUAGAUAUAUGGAAGAACACCAGUGGCGAAGGCGGCCGCCUGGCCUGUUGCUGACGCUGAGGCACGAAAGCGUGGGGAGCAAAUAGGAUUAGAUACCCUAGUAGUCCACGCCGUAAACGAUGAGGACCAAGUGUUGGGGGUGAAACCUCAGUGCUGAAGUUAACGCAGUGAGUCCUCCGCCUGGGGAGUAUGCACGCAAGUGUGAAACUCAAAGGAAUUGACGGGGGCCCGCACAAGCGGUGGAGUAUGUGGUUUAAUUCGAAGCAACGCGAAGAACCUUACCAGGCCUUGACAUGGGAUGCGAAGAUGCAGAGAUGCAUCGGAGGUCGACAUCCACACAGGUGGUGCAUGGUUGUCGUCAGCUCGUGUCGUGAGAUGUUGGGUCAAGUCCCGCAACGAGCGCAACCCUUGUGGCAUGUUGCUAACAGGAAAAGCUGAGGACUCAUGCCAGACUGCCGGUGACAAACCGGAGGAAGGCGGGGAUGACGUCAAAUCAUCAUGCCCCUUAUGGCCUGGGCUACACACGUACUACAAUGGCGGCUACAAAGAGCAGCGAGACAGGGAUGUCGAGCGAAUCUCAUAAAAGCCGUCCCAGUUCGGAUUGGAGGCUGCAACCCGCCUCCAUGAAGUUGGAAUCGCUAGUAAUCGCGGAUCAGCAUGCCGCGGUGAAUACGUUCCCGGGCCUUGCACACACCGCCCGUCA
rnacentral:rRNA from 1 species